AUUGAACGCUGGCGGCAGGCCUAACACAUGCAAGUCGAACGAGUGGCGGACGGGUGAGUAAUGUCUGGGAAACUGCCUGAUGGAGGGGGAUAACUACUGGAAACUGUCGCUAAUCCCGCGUACCAUAGGAUGAGCCCAAGUGGGAUUAGGUAGUUGGUGAGGUAAAGGCGCACCAAGCCGACGCUCUCUAGCUGGUCUGAGAGGAUGACCAGCCACACUGGGACUGAGACACGGCCCAGACUCCUACGGGAGGAAGCAGGGGGGAAUAUUGCGAAAUGGGGGCAACCUGACGAAGCCAUGCCGCGUGAAUGAAGAAGGCCUUCGGGUUGUAAAGUUCUUUCGGUAGCGAGGCGUUAACUACAGAAGAAGCACCGGCUAACUCCGUGCCAGCAGCCGCGGUAAUUC
rnacentral:rRNA from 1 species